rnacentral:misc_RNA from 1 species
GAUGAAGAACGCAGCGAAAUGCGAUACUUGGUGUGAAUUGCAGAAUCCCGUGAACCAUCGAGUCUUUGAACGCAAGUUGCGCCCGAAGCCAUUAGGCCGAGGGAACGCCUGCCUGGGUGUCACACGUCGUUGCCCCCCCAUCUACUCCUUCGGGAUUGCGGGGGGCGGAUGAUGGCCUCCCGUGCGCCUCGUCGCGCGGUUGGCAUAAAUGCCAAGUCCUCGGCGACGCACGCCACGACAAUCGGUGGUUGCGAAACCUCGGUUGCCCGUCGUGUGCGGUCGUCGCGCAUCGAGGGCUCGAAAAAAUUGCCGGGCUCCGGCUCGGCUUUCAACGCGACCCCAGGUCAGGCGGGGUUACCCGCUGAAUUUAAGCAUAUCAAUAAGCGGAGGA